GGAUUGAAGGAGUCACUGGGGAUGAAGAUCACUGCUCAGGGGCUGACGACCACUCAUCUUUCCGGAGAAGCGUCCUCAUGGUGCAGGCGGUCAAACCUCCACCUCUUUGAAGAGACCAAGCAGCUUGAUGACUGACUGGUUCUUUAUACUCAAGACCUCGUCCCGGAGCAGAGGACGGACCUAAGGCCCGCAGCGCAGCCGACUAGAGACUCCAUGUUGAACCGGUAAGAUACUGGAUUGACCAUCUUGAAGACAUUUUCAUUUAUUCAACAAGGUUCAAUUAAGUUGACCUCUCCUUCAGGCGACUUAAAGGGAGACCAGAUGUGCGGCAGCUGGGUGUCAUGGUGCAGAGACCCAACGCUGUACUGAACUACACCAGUGUGUCCUACUCCCAUAAACCCUGAGGAUCCCUGGAUGGCUACACCAGUGUGUCCUACUCCCAUAAACCCUGAGGAUCCCUGGAUGGCUACACCAGCACAUUAAUCCACACCCAACAUCAACACACAGUGCACACUCUAU